UGUCAUUAUAUAUAUUCACUAAAGAUAUUUGAUUUUUAUAUUAGUUUUCAAGAAACUAUAUUAUCUUUCACCAAAACCCCAAACAAUACUCCCUCCCUCCCUCUUUAAAUGUUGCUAUAUCAUCUUUUCUCUCUCUCCUACUUCCAUUUCUUCUGCAACUCCUUUUCUCUCUCUUCUCACCUUACAAAAAUUCAGAUCUUGUUGAUUCUAGUUCAAAUUCCAUAAAGAAAAACACCAAAACAAUAAUCUAGACUUUCUUGUAUUCUUUUGAGACCAAAUUCUUUUAUUUUUAUGUCGUUUGAGGAAUUAAGGGUUUUUCACUAUUUCAUCUUCAUCAAUCCUCCCACCGUAGCAAGCAAAAAGAGAGUUGAUCUGGCUGAAAAUUCAAGUUCAUGAAGAUUUAGAUAAAGAUUUGAGUCUUGUUGGGUGAUUGAAGAUCUGGAUUUGCAAGGCCUCAAAAAUGGUGAAUUCACUCCUUAACUCCAAAAUCUCGAUUUUAAUUUUUUUUUGUAUGUUAGAAACAAAAACCCUCGUUUUCUCUAUUUUUGUUUUUCUCAUGUUGAGUUUGGUUUUAUACUUUCGGAAUAUUUUUCGUCUUUUUUGAAUGAUUUUCAUAUUUUUCGUGUUUUUUGACUGAUUUUCAGAUUUUGGUUAGUGGACUAGUGUUAUUUUUCGCAUUUUUUGCUCUAAUUUGUAGUGUAACUAAUUUCCAGCAAUUAUGUGUUCAUUUUGCAGAUUUUGAUGAAGACGAUGUUGCUGGAAAUUUUUUGGUUAGAUUGUUCUACAUUUACAUGUCUGAUUAAGAUGUUGAGCUUAUAACUUUAAUCAAGGAGUUUAAACCCACUUGAUUUUUGCUUUAUUGUUGUUCUGUACAGUGGGCCCAAACUCUUUCCUUGAUUUGUGUGAAAAAACAAAUGUAGAAACAUUAUUAAGACAGAGUGAGUAAUGUUUUUCCACUCAAAAGAAAAAAUCGACAAGAAAACGCAACAAAAAAGCUAAAAUAUUUCUCUCUUCUCCAAACAAUUGUUUUUCCACUAUUACCCCCUAGUUUCUGUCUUCGGAGAUUUGAUUUAAGUAUUAAAAAUGAUAAAAGCUGAAAUUGAAGAAAACAAAUGGACAAUAAAAAACUCUCAAUAGAAGAACAAAAUGAAUGCGCAAGAAAUCGCAGCAUCGCAAAUCCCUCAUUGUCGCCAUCUCUGGCGUACUUUCCGAGGAAACUCUUGUCUCUCUCCAACAUCACCGCCACUUUCCCUUCUCUCUCCUAUUUCUUUUUCUCCACACAUGGUUUUGCCAUUAUCGAUCUCAUUUGAGGCUGAGAGGAUAGAGAAAAAGAGAGGAGAGAAAAUGCUCAAUAAGAACUUGAUUUCGAUAAUUGUUUCCACUUAUUGUUGAUUAAUUUUUGCAACAAGAAUCAAACCUCCAUCGUAACUGCUCCAGCAGAGUGGCCCGACCCACUAUAGCAUCAAGGAUCGUCUGUGCCAUCUCCUUGGCCCAGACUUCAGCUGCAGCACCUUCCCCUUACCCCCAACAGCCCAUCCCUUCCCUCAAUAUUCAUCCCCUUAUUUCUGGAGUUCAAGUCCAGUCUCAGCAUUCACCCUCAUCGCGCUCCGUCUGUGGGGAUGUAACAGAAUACAAUAUUUUUUAGGAUAUAUUUUGAGCUUCAAUUUCUAAUCUGGAUAGGUUUCCUAAUAUGUAUAGGAUUAUGCUUAUGUUGUAAAAUAUAAAUAUUGAUCAAUUGUAGUCACUCCAAUUACGGAGUUACAUCCAAAUCUAGCAUCCACCUAUAAGUGUUUACCUUAAACUAGUUAAGUAUUACCAACUACAUUACUCUAAAUGCCAAAUUUAAAUAAAUGUUCACUUGGUAUCUUAAUUGUUCUAUUUCAAUUUAGAUCAAAUGAAUAACGUGUCUUCUCAUAUAAUCAUCACCUAUAUAUGUUUAUUGUUUUUCAAUAUUCAUUUUCAUUUGCAGCUAAACCAAAUGCAAUUGAAUUUCAUUGUAUUAGCAUUUAAUAUUUUCUUUUUUUUAGGGGAUUUAAUUAUUUCCUUAUAGUUUCAAGGCUAAUGAAUAAUGUAUCUUCUCUACAUCUAUUGUGUCUCCCAAACUAAUGGAAAAACAUAGCAGUGUUAAAAUGAUAGUACUACACAUUACAGGUUAGAAUUUUUCACUUAUACAUCACUAAAUGAAUACUGUUAAAAAUUGAUAAACUUUGACUCAAAAAAGUGCACUGCAGCAUGUAAGAUUAGCGAAAAGGAGAAGAUUAGAGCAUGUUAGAUUUGUGGCCCAUAUUCUCUAAAGCCCAAUUUCUAAGUUGAUAUGGUGCAAACCAAUAUCUAGCUCCAUCUUAUUUCAUAUUCACAAUUUAGCAAUAUCUAUGAAGAUCUUGCAUUACAUCAUGAAUUCUAGAGAUAUCAUGAUGAUCCAACGUGGCAUCUUUCACAUUAUGGAAGCAUGAAUUUGUUGCAAGUUCUUAAGAUUUCUAGAGGUAUAUUGCCGAUUUAUGUUGCCGUCAUAUACAAACUAUAAAUAAGUGUUGGGCAUACUUGAUGGUGAUCGUCCACAAAUCCAAGAAGCCAUACAUACUAAGCCUUCCUACCAUAUUGACCAUCCUUGUUUAUAACCCAUUCUGUAUAAUUAAUCCACUGUUCUUCUUUGUAAUACUCUUUUGUGAGUUUCUUACUAUAGUAGGAGUUGUAUAGUAUACUCACCCUAAUAAUAUUUAGGGUUCUUGUACUCUCUUAUUUUCAUAUAGUGGAUUUUCGGGUACUCAUCGUCCGUGGGUUUUUUGCCUCUAUGUGAGGAUUUUUCCCACGUUAAAUAUCGUGUGUCCAUCUCUUUUACUACUUUUCUUGCCACAUAUUUCCAACUAUUUAUUUUGCUCAAUCUGCAUCUUUAAUUUGCUUUUGCUACGCACCCACAACCCUAACAAGUGGUAUCAGAGCCAAAGGUUGUUUAGAGUGCUAUUAUAUUAAAGAUGUCUUCGGUAACAAAGUUCGAGAUUGACAAAUUCGAUGGCAAGAUCAGUUUCAGCAUCUGGAAAGUCCAGAUGAAGGUCGUUCUCACUCAAAGCGGAUUAAAAAGUGCACUUGAUGGUAAGAAGAAAAAGCCAUUUAUUAUGACUAACGAGCAGUGCCAAGAGUUGGAUGAAAAAGCGUUAUCUACAAUCUAAUUGUGAUUAACUAACGAGGUACUACAGAGGUUAUUCACGAGGAGAUUGCUGCAAGGCCAUGGUUGAAGCUCGAGUCCCUCUACAUGACUAAUAGUCUCGUUAAUAAACUUCGUCUCAAGGAAAGGCUUUACACUAUUCGGAUGGCCGAAGGUACUUCCAUUCAAUCUCAUCUUAAUGAAUUUAAUUCUAUUAUUAUUGAUCUUGAAAAUUUGGAUGUCAAGAUUGAAGAUGAGGAUAAAGUCGUGUCAUUAAUUGUCUCCCUACCUCCUUCGUAGAAGCACUUCAAGGAAAUCAUGUUAUAGGGUAACAGUGAUAGUUUAUCUUUUGAAGAUGCUAAAUCUCAUUUACUCUCAAAAGAGAAAUUUGACCUUGAAGUGCAUUCUAAUGAUAAUAAUGCCAAAGGAUUAAAUGUAAAAGGGAGGUCGCAUGGAAAAAUAAGUACCAAAAAUGGGGUCAUAUCUAAUGGGCAUAAAUCUAAGAAUUUAUGCAAAUAUUAUAAGAAGCAUGGGCAUAAUGUUUCUAAUUGCUUAAAAUUAAAGAAAAAGCUCAAAAGAGAAGAAAAUGAGAAAAAAGCAUUAGAAACCGCACAAGCAGAUUUUGGUGAAAUAGAAUCUGAUGAUGUUCUUUUGGCUACUUCUCCUGGAAGAAGUAGAACUUCUAAUUGGGUGCUUGAUUCCAAUUGUACCUACCAUGUUUGUUCUCAAAAUUAAAAGAUCACUCUACCAAUUAUAAAUCGGUGAAGAAUAAAUUUGUCUCUAUGGGCAACGAUUCCUGUUGCAAAGUUCAUGGUAUCGGCUUUAUUUGGAUCAAGACACAUGAUGGUAAGAUCAGGACUCUGUCUAAUAUUCAACAUGUUCCCAAUUUGAAGCAAUACAUCAUUUUUUUGGGCACUCUUAAUUCUAAAAGGUGCAAGAUUUCGGCUCAAGUUGGAGUACUUAAAGUCUCCAAAGGUGCUCAUGAACUACUGAAGGUCGUCAGACAUAGAAAUCUCUAUGUAUUACAAAGAUCUUCAAUCAUGGCUUCUUCCUACACAACCCCGAUUCGGCAUCAAUGUCGUUAUAAAAAAGGUUCCAGCAUGUCACAUAUUUCUAAGCCCAAUAUACAAUUGGGCCAGUGUGACAUAUCUACAUACAAUUCGGGAUUUAUACGACGAGUACAUAAAGGAUUUAGUCCAAGGUGGAGAUUGUUGGGUUUGUGGCUCAUAUUCUCUAAAGCCCAAUUUUUAAGUUGAUAUGGUGCAAACCAAUAUCUAGCUCUAUCUUAUUUCAUAUUCACACUCUAAUAAUAUCUAUGAAGAUCUUGCAUUACAUCAUGAAUUCUAGAGAGAUCAUGAUGAUGCAACGUGGCAUCUUUCACAUUUUGGAAGUAUGAAUUUGCUGCAAGUUCUCAAGAUUUCUAGAGGUAUAUUGCCGACUUAUGUUGCCGCCAUAUACAAACUAUAAAUAAGUGUUGGGCAUACUUGAUGGAGACCAUCUACAAAUCCAAGAAGCCAUACAUACUAAGCCUUCUUACCAUAUUAACAAUCCUUGUUUAUAACUCAUUUUGUAUAAUUAAUCCACUAUUCUUCUUUGUAAUACUCUUUUGUGGAUUUUUUUCUAUAGUGAGAGUUCUAUUGUAUACUCACCCUAAUAAUAUUUAGGGUUCUUGUAAUCUCCUAUUUUCAUAUAGUGGAUUUUCGGGUACUCAUCGCCAUGGGUUUCUUUGCCUCUAUUUGAGGAUUUUUCCCAUGUUAAAUAUUAUAUGUCCAUAUUUUUAACUAA